UACGGAGGGUGCAAGCGUUAUCCGGAUUCACUGGGUUUAAAGGGUGCGUAGGAGGGCAGGUAAGUCAGUGGUGAAAUCUCCGAGCUUAACUUGGAACUGCCGUUGAUACUAUCUGCCUUGAAUAUUGUGGAGGUGAGCGGAAUAUGUCAUGUAGCGGUGAAAUGCUUAGAUAUGACACAGAACACCGAUUGCGAAGGCAGCUCACUAAACUGUAACUGACGCUGAGGCACGAAAGCGUGGGGAGCAAACAGG
rnacentral:rRNA from 1 species